rnacentral:rRNA from 1 species
UACGGAGGGGGCUAGCGUUGUUCGGAAUUACUGGGCGUAAAGCGCGCGUAGGCGGACCUGCAAGUCGGGGGUGAAAGCCCGAGGCUCAACCUCGGAACUGCCUUCGAUACUGCGGGUCUCGAGUCCGGGAGAGGGAUGCAGAAUUCCAGGUGUAGCGGUGAAAUGCGUAGAUAUCUGGAGGAAUACCGGUGGCGAAGGCGGCAUCCUGGACCGGCAUUGACGCUGAGGAGCGAAAGCUAGGGGAGCAAACGGG